rnacentral:tRNA from 1 species
UUAAUAGAAGCCAAAAAGAGGCUAUUCACUGUUAAUGAAUAAAUUGAUUUCUCCUAUUAAG